rnacentral:lncRNA from 1 species
AUGGCGCUCACCAGUCCUGUGCACAAGGUACACAAGGUACAAGGUGCAGGAUGUGUGAGAUAUUUUACUUUUUGGCUCUUCUGCAAACAUUAUCAAUGGUGACAUUCCAAUUGGUUCUUUGAAAGAUCGAUAAGCGCAUCAGGAAUGAAAUAAAUGUCAUAACUAUACUCUACUAGACGAAACUUCCUUGCUUUCACCCAGCGGCCCAAGCACGCAGAACGUUACAUCGAACCUGCGUUGACGGUGGUUUAGACAUUCUUGUUGUGCUCACUGGCAUGCGUGCUCUCGUGCUCUUCUGCGACACGCCGGUCGUCCCAGCAUCUGACACAAGUGACAAUACAUCCUCGACUGCAUGAAAACUGUAUGCCACAAUUAGGUUUUCUGGCUAGACACUCCUCGUGAAAGAGGGAUGGACAACCUGCACAUUGAAUAAUGCCAACAGCACCGGCACAAAGCAGAGGCUGCCUGCACAAGCAAUGAACAGCAUAAGCGAAGUCUUUUGGUCGCACUUGAGAAACAAUAAAAUUUAU